rnacentral:rRNA from 1 species
GCCUGUUCUGAACAGCCAGCCGGUUUCUCUUGAUGAUCUUCACCGGUUGUCUUGGGUGACCGGCAAGUUUACUUUGAAAAAAUUAGAGUGCUCAAAGCAGGCGUGACGCCUGAAUAAUGGUGCAUGGAAUAAUGGAAUAGGACCUCGGUUCUAUUUUGUUGGUUUUCGGAACACGAGGUAAUGAUUAAGAGGGACAGACGGGGGCAUUCGUAUUGCGACGCUAGAGGUGAAAUUCUUGGACCGUCGCAAGACGAACUACUGCGAAAGCAUUUGCCAAGAAUGUUUCCAUUAAUCAAGAACGAAAGUUAGAGGUUCGAAGGCGAUCAGAUACCGCCCUAGUUCUAACCAUAAACGAUGCCAGCCAGCGAUCCGGCUGUGUUCCUCAAAUGACACGCCGGGCAGCUUCCGGGAAACCAAAGCUUUUGGGUUCCGGGGGAAGUAUGGUUGCAAAGCUGAAACUUAAAGGAAUUGACGGAAGGGCACCACCAGGAAUGGAGCCUGCGGCUUAAUUUGACUCAACACGGGAAAACUUACCCGGCCCGGACACAGGAAGGAUUGACAGAUUAAGAGCUCUUUCUUGAUUCUGUGGGUGGUGGUGCAUGGCCGUUCUUAGUUGGUGGAGCGAUUUGUCUGGUUAAUUCCGAUAACGAACGAGACUCUAGCCUACUAAAUAGACGUUCCGAUCAUCUCCGUCGGACGUUCUUCUUAGAGGGACAAGCGGCGUUUAGCCGCACGAGACAGAGCAAUAACAGGUCUGUGAUGCCCUUAGAUGUCCGGGGCCGCACGCGCGCUACAUUGAAGGAAUCAGCGUGUGCUUUCCCGGUCCGACAGGACUGGGUAACCCGUUGAACCUCCUUCGUGCUGGGGAAUAGGAAAUUGGUAAUUGUUUUCCUUGAACGAGGAAUUCCCAGUAAGCACGAGUCAUAAGCUCGUGUUGAUUACGUCCCUGCCCUUUGUACACACCGCCCGUCGCUACUACCGAUUGAAUGGAUUUAGUGAGGUCCUCGGACUGGCGCUCGGAACGGCCUUCGGGUCCCGCCGGCGUGCCGGAAA